rnacentral:rRNA from 1 species
UACGUAGGGUGCGAGCGUUUGUCCGGAAUUACUGGGCGUAAAGCGUGCGCAGGCGGUUCGUUGUGUCGGCGGUGAAAGCCCCGGGCUCAACCUGGGAAUGGCCGUUGAAACUGGCGAACUGGAGUGUGGCAGAGGGGGGUGGAAUUCCGCGUGUAGCAGUGAAAUUCGUAGAUAUCGAGAGGAACACCGGUGGCGAAGGCGGCCAACUGGACGAGUACUGACGCUGAGACACGAAAGCGUGGGGAGCAAACAGG